ACAGCAGCCGCCGCGGUAAUACAGAGGAUGCAAGCGAUAUCCGGAAUGAUUGGGCGUAAAGCGUCUGUAGGUGGCUUUUCAAGUCCGCCGUCAAAUCCCAGGGCUCAACCCUGGACAGGCGGUGGAGACUACCAAGCUGGAGUACGGUAGGGGCAGAGGGAAUUUCCGGUGGAGCGGUGAAAUGCGUUGAGAUCGGAAAGAACACCAACGGCAAAAGCACUCUGCUGGGCCGACACUGACACUGAGAGACGAAAGCUAGGGGAGCAAAUGGGAUUAGAUACCCCAGUAGUCCCUGUCUCUUAUAA
rnacentral:rRNA from 1 species